UUUCUAUUGACUCCUUCAAUGCAAUAAAAGCAAAAGGGAAUAUUUGGUUAAAUGGUAAAAAGUAGGUUUUAGAAAGGAAAAAAAUGUUAUGUUCUUAUAAUUGUCAUUUACUUUUCUUUUAGGAUGCAAAACCUGUACAUUUACUUAUGCUUUCUUAUUAUUACAUUUACCUCGUGACUAAAUCUAAAUUGUUAAAAUUAGUUUUUAAGAAAACCAAAGAAUGAACCGGGCAGAGCAUUGAUCUACCUCCUUUAUAGAUGCUGUUAACCUUGGUUUCCCAUCCUUUUUUUGAUUCCUUUUUCUCUUUGCCUGCUCUUGAUGAUAGGAUGCUUACAAGCAAAUCCCCUUUUUCUCUUGGCAGGAUAUCGCUGCUACUAUUGAUGAGGAAGAUGUUGCAA
rnacentral:misc_RNA from 1 species